rnacentral:rRNA from 1 species
CAGCAGCCGCGGUAAUACGAAGGGGGCUAGCGUUGCUCGGAAUUACUGGGCGUAAAGGGCGCGUAGGCGGAUGUUUAAGUCAGAGGUGAAAGCCCAGGGCUCAACCUUGGAACUGCCUUUGAUACUGGACAUCUUGAGUGUGGGAGAGGUGAGUGGAACUCCGAGUGUAGGGGUGAAAUUCGUAGAUAUUCGGAAGAACACCAGUGGCGAAGGCGACUCACUGGCCCAUUACUGACGCUGAGGCGCGAAAGCGUGGGGAGCAAACAGGAUUAGAUACCCCAGUAGUCCCUGUCUCUUAUAC